UACGGGGGGGGCAAGCGUUGUUCGGAAUUACUGGGCGUAAAGGCUCGUAGGUGGCCAACUAAGUCAGACGAUGAAAUCCCGUCGGCCUUAACCGGGGAACUGCGUCUGAUACUGGAUGGCUUGAGUUUGGGAGAGGGACGCGGAAUUCCAGGUGUAGCGGUGAAAUGCGUAGAUAUCUGGAGGAACACCGGUGGCGAAGGCGGCGUCCUGGACCAACACUGACACUGAGGAGCG
rnacentral:rRNA from 1 species